CGGCUAGUACCGCAUAAUGUCUUAGUUCAUUGAGCUAGGACCAAAGGUGGCCUCUACAUGUAAGCUAUCGCGUUGGGAUGGGCCCAGUUAGGAUUAGCUAGUUGGUAAGGUAAUGGCUUACCAAGGCGACGAUCCUUAGCUGGUUUGAGAGGAUGAUCAGCCACACUGGGACUGAGACACGGCCCAGACUCCUACGGGAGGCAGCAGUGGGGAAUAUUGCACAAUGGGGGAGACCCUGAUGCAGCCAUGCCGCGUGUGUGAAGAAGGCCUUCGGGUUGUAAAGCACUUUCAGCAGUGAGGAAGGUCGUGUGCUUAAUACGUGCACGGCUUGACGUUAGCUGCAGAAGAAGCACCGGCUAACUCCGUGCCAGCAGCCGCGGUAAUACGGAGGGUGCGAGCGUUAAUCGGAAUUACUGGGCGUAAAGCGCAUGCAGGCGGUUUGUUAAGUCAGAUGUGAAAGCCCGGGGCUCAACCUCGGAACCGCAUUUGAAACUGGCAGGCUAGAGUCUUGUAGAGGGGGGUAGAAUUUCAGGUGUAGCGGUGAAAUGCGUAGAGAUCUGAAGGAAUACCAGUGGCGAAGGCGGCCCCCUGGACAAAGACUGACGCUCAGAUGCGAAAGCGUGGGUAGCAAACAGGAUUAGAUACCCUGGUAGUCCACGCCGUAAACGCUGUCUACUUGGAGG
rnacentral:rRNA from 1 species